rnacentral:tRNA from 1 species
UCCCUGGUGGCUCAGAUGGUAAAGAAUCUGCCUGCAAUGCAGAAGACCUUAGUUCAAUGCCUGAGUUGGGAAG